rnacentral:rRNA from 1 species
UACAGAGGGUGCAAGCGUUAUCCGGAUUCACUGGGUUUAAAGGGUGCGUAGGUGGGCAGGUAAGUCAGUGGUGAAAUCUCCGGGCUUAACCCGGAAACUGCCAUUGAUACUAUCUGUCUUGAAUACCGUGGAGGUGAGCGGAAUAUGUCAUGUAGCGGUGAAAUGCUUAGAUAUGCCAUAGAACACCAAUUGCGAAGGCAGCUCACUACACGAAUAUUGACACUGAGGCACGAAAGCGUGGGGAUCAAACAGG